CAGUCGCCGCGGGAAUACGUAGGUGGCAAGCGUUGUCCGGAAUUAUUGGGCGUAAAGGGCUCGCAGGCGGUUUCUUAAGUCUGAUGUGAAAGCCCCCGGCUCAACCGGGGAGGGUCAUUGGAAACUGGGAAACUUGAGUGCAGAAGAGGAGAGUGGAAUUCCACGUGUAGCGGUGAAACGCGUAGAGAUGUGGAGGAACACCAGUGGCGAAGGCGACUCUCUGGUCUGUAACUGACGCUGAGGAGCGAAAGCGUGGGGAGCGAACAGGAUUAGAUACCCCCGUAGUCCCUGUCUCUUAUAC
rnacentral:rRNA from 1 species